rnacentral:tRNA from 1 species
UCUAAUAUGGCAGAAUAGUGCUAUGAAUUUAAGAUUCAUCAAUAAAGUUUAUCUUUUUUUAGAA